rnacentral:lncRNA from 1 species
UCUUUUCUGGCCCGCCUGUGUCUGCCCACGGACCAAUUGGUGCUCACUUCCUUCCCUCUGAGGCCCAUAAAAGCCGUGGGCUCAGCCGGAGCAGAGCAGAGCUGAGGACACAGGGAUGACUGGACUACCAGCUGGAGAGAGGAGCUACCCUCUCUGCUAGGGGCCGAACACUCCUCCGGACACCCUGGCUACAGUGCAGGACAAGAACUUAGGACUGCAGGACAAGAACUCGAGACCCACACAAUGCACCACCAGGCUCGACCCAGCACAGCUCAUCCACCCACCCCAAUGACAGAAUGCAGCCAGAACUGUGGUCAAUAUGGAGUGGCACCUUUGAGAGAGGGCCUCUGAGCAAGUUCCUGUGCCUGUUUCUUUCAACGAGGAUAACUACUUCCACCUGCCUUUGUAAUUUGUUCCUGGGACAAAGAAAGCCUCUUGAGGAGGCUGGCCUGCCCUGCAUAUGUUGGAUAAACGCUUGAAAUAUGGACCUGUCCCCAUCUCUCGCCUUUCCCCGGAAUUCAGGACUGAAUGGAUGCUGCCUGCAUUUUGGGGAGUGGGAGUUUUGCUUUUCCUUUGCUUUGCUACUUACUCACUCUGAUGAACAAGGAGGAGACUGACAGCUUCACAGUCCUGGAUCAUUUCCUGCCCUGUUCUCCCAUCCAGCUCAUGGAAGUCAGCAACUCCAUCCACUCAUUGCACAGAGACCAGAAAGGGGAAGGGAUUUUCUCACUGUCUCACAGCAACUAAUGGCCAAGCUGUGGUGGGCGUCUUGGUGGUCUGAUUCCAAUUCAAGUUGGAGUGAGAGAGUGAGAAGAUUAUGGGCUGUGGCCUCAAGCCAACCAGGGUCUAAACCCAGCAUUGCCUCUGGCUUACUUGUGUCUCCUCUGCUUCCUCAUUCUUAGAAUGGAAAUCAUCAUCAUCAUCUCAUAGAAGUGUUAUGGGCAACAGACAGGAUAAUGUACAUGAAGCUCAUACAGCCUUAGGAUUAAAACCAGUGAAGACCCAAACGACUGUACCUGGGAAUUUAAGAUAAACAGGGUGUGUUACUGCCUGGCACAAACUGGGAAUUUGUGCAAAGGUAAGAUACCAAGCAGGACAGUAUUUCUCCUUGAGGGACCGUGAAAUCUUCUCAUCAUUUAAGCUUAUGAAACGAGGUGGAGCCUCAUUUCUUAAAGGGGGAAAUGCAAAUCAAAACUACCUGGGUAUCAUAUGAAAUUAUACCUUGAUAAAGCUGAUUUUUAAAACAUUACCCUGAGAAUUGUAAAGAUCAACAGUCCUGAUAACAAGCCAGGCAUCGUGGCUCAUGCCUGUAGUUCCAACUACUUGAGAGGCUGAGGUGGGAGGAUUGCUGGAGC